UUGUGUGUUCAAGUUUUUAAGGGCAUACGGUGGAUGCCUUGGCAUCAGGAGCCGAUGAAGGACGUGGGAGCCUGCGAUAUGCCUCGGGGAGUCGGCAACCAGACUUUGAUCCGGGGAUUUCCGAAUGGGGGAACCUGGCACUCGUCAUGGGGUGUCGCCGCCGGCUGAAUGUAUAGGCCGGUUGGUGGGAACGCGGGGAAGUGAAACAUCUCAGUACCCGCAGGAAGAGAAAACAAUAGUGAUUCCGUGAGUAGUGGUGAGCGAAAGCGGAUGAGCCUAAACCGUGCGCGUGUGAUACCUGGCAGGGGUUGCGUGUGCGGGGUUGUGGGACCAUCUUGUUGAGGCUGCCAUCUUGACAGGGAGUUACAAACCGCUGGUGUAGUCGAAUGGUUUGGGAUAGCCGACCGUAGACGGUGAGAGUCCGGUAGACGAAAUUCCAGUGGCUCCCGGGUGUGUUCCCGAGUAGCACGAGGCCCGUGAAAUCUCGUGUGAAUCUGCCACGACCACGUGGUAAGGCUAAAUACUUCCUGAUGACCGAUAGCGGACAAGUACCGUGAGGGAAAGGUGAAAAGUGCCCCGGUGAGGGGUCGUGAAAUAGUACCUGAAACCGUGUGCCUACAAGCCGUCAGAGCGUCCUCAACACUUCGGUGUUGUUCGUGAUGGCGUGCCUUUUGAAGAAUGAGCCUGCGAGUUAUGGUGUGUGGCGAGGUUAACCGGUGGCGGGUAGCCGUAGCGAAAGCGAGUCUGAAGAGGGCGUUUGAGUCGCAUGCUGUAGACCCGAAGCGGAGUGAUCUAGCCAUGGGCAGGGUGAAGCGCCGGUAAGACGGUGUGGAGGCCCGAACCCACCAGGGUUGAAAACCUGGGGGAUGACCUGUGGUUAGGGGUGAAAGGCCAAUCAAACUCCGUGAUAGCUGGUUCUCCCCGAAAUGCAUUUAGGUGCAGCGUUGCGUGUUUCUUGCCGGAGGUAGAGCUACUGGAUGGCUAAUGGGCCCUACAAGGUUACUGACGUCAGCCAAACUCCGAAUGCCGGUAAGUGAGAGCGUGGCAGUGAGACUGCGGGGGAUAAGCUUCGUAGUCGAGAGGGAAACAGCCCAGAUCAUCGGCUAAGGCCCCUAAGCGUGUGCUAAGUGGGAAAGGAUGUGGAGUUGCUGUGACAACCAGGAGGUUGGCUUAGAAGCAGCCAUCCUUGAAAGAGUGCGUAAUAGCUCACUGGUCAAGUGAUUCCGCGCCGACAAUGUAGCGGGGCUCAAGCACACCGCCGAAGCCGUGGCAUUCCAACUUGUUUGGGAUGGGUAGGGGAGCGUCCUGCAUCCGGUGAAGCCGUCGAGUGAUCGUGCGGUGGAGGGUGUGGGAGUGAGAAUGCAGGCAUGAGUAGCGAAUCACACGUGAGAAACGUGUGCGCCGGAUGACCAAGGGUUCCUGGGGCAGGCUAAUCCGCCCAGGGUAAGUCGGGACCUAAGGCGAGGCCGACAGGCGUAGUCGAUGGACAACGGGUUGAUAUUCCCGUACCCGCUGGUAUGCGCCAACGCUGAGGCCAUUGAUGCUAACCACCCAAUCCCGCUUAUGGGCCUUCGGGCCUGUUUGUUGGGGGAGCGUGGGACCCUAAGUGGUAGUAGGUGAGCGAUGGGGUGACGCAGGAGGGUAGCUCAGCCCGGGCGAUGGUUGUCCCGGGGUAAGCCUGUAGCCCGGAUCGUAGGUAAAUCCGCGAUCCGUUAAGGGUGAGAGGUGAUGCCGAGCCGUUUUUGGUGAAGUGAGUGAUCCCAUGCUGCCGAGAAAAGCCUCUAGUGAGUGUACCGGCGGCCCGUACCCUAAACCGACUCAGGUGGUCAGGUAGAGAAUACCAAGGCGAUCGGGUGAACUGUGGUUAAGGAACUCGGCAAAUUGCCCCCGUAACUUUGGGAGAAGGGGGACCACGUCCGGUGAUGGCACUUGCUGCCGGAGCUGGGGGUGGUCGCAGAGGCCAGGGGGAAGCGACUGUUUACUAAAAACACAGGUCCGUGCGAAGUCGUAAGACGCUGUAUACGGACUGACGCCUGCCCGGUGCCGGAACGUUAAGAGGACCGGUUAGACGCUUUCGGGUGUCGAAGCUGAGAAUCUAAGCGCCGGUAAACGGCGGUGGUAACUAUAACCAUCCUAAGGUAGCGAAAUUCCUUGUCGGGUAAGUUCCGACCUGCACGAAUGGCGUAACGACUUCCCCGCUGUCUCAACCACAGGCCCGGCGAAAUUGCAGUACGAGUAAAGAUGCUCGUUUCGCGCAGCAGGACGGAAAGACCCCGGGACCUUCACUAUAGCUUGGCAUUGGCGUUUGAUGUGUCUUGUGUAGGAUAGGUGGGAGACUGUGAAGCGGGCACGCCAGUGUUCGUGGAGUCAUUGGUGAAAUACCACUCUGGUCGCCUUAGACGUCUAACCCGCACCCGUGGAUCCGGGUGGGGGACAGUGCCUGGUGGGUAGUUUAACUGGGGCGGUUGCCUCCUAAAGAGUAACGGAGGCGCCCAAAGGUUCCCUCAGCCUGGUUGGUCAUCAGGUGGUGAGUGCAAGGGCACAAGGGAGCUUGACUGUGAGACCGACAGGUCGAGCAGGUGCGAAAGCAGGGCCUAGUGAUCCGGCACCGGCGUGUGGAAGCGGUGUCGCUCAACGGCUAAAAGGUACCCCGGGGAUAACAGGCUGAUCUUCCCCAAGAGUCCAUAUCGACGGGAUGGUUUGGCACCUCGAUGUCGGCUCGUCGCAUCCUGGGGCUGGAGUAGGUCCCAAGGGUUGGGCUGUUCGCCCAUUAAAGCGGCACGCGAGCUGGGUUUAGAACGUCGCGAGACAGUUCGGUCCCUAUCCGCUGUGCGCGUAGGAGAAUUGAUGAGGGUCUGUCCCUAGUACGAGAGGACCGGGACGGACGAACCUCUGGUGUGCCAGUUGUCCCGCCAGGGGCAUGGCUGGUUGGCUACGUUCGGUCGGGAUAACCGCUGAAAGCAUCUAAGCGGGAAGCCUUCCUCGAGAUGAGUUCUCCCACACCUUGUGUGUGUAAGGCCCCCAAGAGACGAUUGGGUUGAUAGGCCGGGGAUGGAAGCGCGGUAACGUGUGGAGUCGACCGGUACUAAUAGGCCGAGUGGCUUGAACACAC
rnacentral:rRNA from 2 species